AUUUAUUACAGUUGCAACAGUCAAAAAUCAGCAAGGUCUGGAAAUUACAGAAGAAUAAUUACAUAAAUGCAUUACAUUGGUAAUUACGUUACUUAUGCAGUCCAGAGCGGAAACAACUAUCAAGGGCAUAAGUAAAAUAAAUGACAAAAAAAUGUCUUGCCAUUAAUAAAGAAAUAAAUAUAUAAUAAUCUAACGGGUUGAAUAAAAUGAACAGGAAUGUCAGUUCAACCCUUCACACGAAUUGGCUAUCAGCUCUGUCCUGUAGAUCAGAGAUGGAAAUAUUGCUUUAUGCUUACAGCUUAUAACUCCUUCCCUGCAGGGCUUCGCUCAAAAGCCAACAGAACACAGAAUCAGGAUAAAACCCUCACCUCAGCAGCAGAGCACUUCAAAUCAUUAUUUUGAGUCUCCAAAAGAGGGAACAACCAGAAAGAAAAAGGUCAACAUCUGCAUCACGACGACAGCAAACCACCUGCACAAAACGGCUCCACUCAGUCAAAGGUCAAAUGUGAAGGUGUUAGUGCGGACGUUUAGGGGAAUCUGGGUUCUACCUCCGUUCCUGCUCCCAUAAGCCCUUCAAUGCUAUCGCUGGAAUAAACACCUUCGGACCGGAGCAGGUCUGGUUUGGAUGGACGAAUCUCCAGAAACAACUCACAUUUCACCCCAAAGUCGAAAUAACAAAGAAAUUAUACUUGCACAAUGGAAGUGAAGGCUAUUUUAGGACCAUUGAAGGGAUAGUUCACGCCAAAAUGAAAACUCUGUCAUUAUUUACUCACCAUCAAGAACGUUGGUAAGCAAACAGCCAUUGCCUUCCGUAGAGUGGGAAAAAAUACUGUGGAAGUCAAUGGCUACCGGCAACUGUUUGCUUAUCAAUAUUCUUCUAAAUUAGUUUGGAGCAAUAUAAGGGUGAUUAAAUGACAGAAUAUUAAUUUUAAGGGUGAACUAUCCCUUUAGGAUUAAUAAUUUAUGCAAAAUAUAAUUUUUUGUGUGGUGAAAUGUGACCCGAGCA